UGGCGCACGGGUGCGUAACGCGUGGGAAUCUGCCCCUUGGUUCGGAAUAACAGUUGGAAACGACUGCUAAUACCGGAUGAUGACGUAAGUCCAAAGAUUUAUCGCCGAGGGAUGAGCCCGCGUAGGAUUAGGUAGUUGGUGUGGUAAAGGCGCACCAAGCCGACGAUCCUUAGCUGGUCUGAGAGGAUGAUCAGCCACACUGGGACUGAGACACGGCCCAG
rnacentral:rRNA from 1 species